rnacentral:rRNA from 1 species
UACAGAGGUCUCAAGCGUUGUUCGGAUUCAUUGGGCGUAAAGGGUGCGUAGGCGGCUGGAAUAGUCCGGUGUGAAAUCCACCAGGCUUAACCUGUGAAUGCCGCUGGAAACUGUCUGGCUAGAGUCCGGAAGGGGCGAGUGGAAUUCCUGGUGUAGCGGUGAAAAUGCGCAGAUAUCAGGAGGAACACCAAUGGCGAAAGGCAGCUCGCUGGGACGGUACUGACGCUGAGGCGCGAAAAGCGUGGGGG